CACCGUGUACGCAUAACGGUAAUGCGAUCGCUCCGGCCUGGCACCGGUAGGAUUGAUGCAGGUUCGACUCCUGCCAUGGUGC
rnacentral:tRNA from 1 species